AACGUCGCCUAUUUCCUUCACUCCAUAGAUGCUGCCCCACCCACUGAGUUUCUCCAGCAUUUUUGACUACCUUCGAUUUUCCAGUAUCUGCAGUUCCUUAAAAAAAUGUUUACUGCUACACACACUGAAUAAGGUGCAAAGUCAAAUAAAGUACCUGAUCGGUUAAUAGACACAAAAAGCUGGAUUACUUUUGUGUCUAUCUUCGGUUUAAACCAGCAUAUCUGCAGUUCCCUCCUAUACACUUGAUCGGUUAAGUUUGGGGAAAAAAUAGAUAUUGAAUAUCAAAUGCUAUUGGUUCAUAAAACAGUAGUAACAACAAUUUGGUUGUAUACUGUACUCUGUUCAGCAAGCUAAGGAAAGUAGUAAUUCUACAACAGAAGUAGAGAACAGAAGUACUCAAGGGAAAGGAAAGGAUCUGUUCUUUCUGAUUCCAAACUUUGUCUUCCAAUCUUCAAACUGUCGCUAGAUUUUAUGUGGGCAGUCAUAAAAGUUAAAUAGUAACUGUUUUUAUGGAACUUACUGGUGCAGUUGGUUGAAUGUUUUAAUUUUAAUCCGUGGAACUAGUGCUCAAGUUCAAACCACCGAGACAAAAUGAAAGAAUCCUUGUAUUUGAUCCACCAAGCAUACAAUUUAGUUGUUUGGUGUUCUCUGUGGCUGCUUAGAGGCCAUCUUCUCUUCACCACAAUAAAUCAAAUUCUGAA